rnacentral:rRNA from 1 species
GCAGCAGCCGCGGGAAUACAGAGGGUGCGAGCGUUAAUCGGAUUUACUGGGCGUAAAGCGUGCGUAGGCGGCUUCUUAAGUCGGAUGUGAAAUCCCUGAGCUUAACUUAGGAAUUGCAUUCGAUACUGGGAAGCUAGAGUAUGGGAGAGGAUGGUAGAAUUCCAGGUGUAGCGGUGAAAUGCGUAGAGAUCGGGAGGAACAUCAGUGGCGAAGGCGGCCAUCUGGGACAACACUGACGCUGAGGCACGAAAGCGUGGGGAGCAAACAGGAUUAGAUACCCCCGUAGUCCCUGUCUCUUAUAC